rnacentral:rRNA from 1 species
UACGUAGGCAGCGAGCGUUGUUCGGAGUUACUGGGCGUAAAGAGUGCGUAGGCGGUGCUCCAAGUCUGGUGUGAAAUCUCCCGCUUAACCGGGAGGGUGCGCCGGAAACUGGGGUGCUGGAGUGCAGGAGAGAAGAGUGGAAUUCCACGUGUAGAGGUGAAAUUCGUAGAUAUUGGGAAGAACACCGAUGGCGAAGGCAGCCAUCUGGACCGACACUGACGCUGAGGCGCGAAAGCGUGGGGAGCAAACAGGG